rnacentral:rRNA from 1 species
AGUGAACGCUGGCGGUAGGCCUAACACAUGCAAGUCGAACGGCAGCACAGUAAGAGCUUGCUCUUACGGGUGGCGAGUGGCGGACGGGUGAGGAAUACAUCGGAAUCUACUUUUUCGUGGGGGAUAACGUAGGGAAACUUACGCUAAUACCGCAUACGACCUACUGGUGAAAGCAGGGGAUCUUCGGACCUUGCGCGAUUGAAUGAGCCGAUGUCGGAUUAGCUAGUUGGCGGGGUAAAGGCCCACCACGGCGACGAUCCGUAGCUGGUCUGAGAGGAUGGUCAGACACACUGGAACUGAGACACGGUCCAGACUCCUACGGGAGGCAGCAGUGGGGAAUAUUGGACAAUGGGCGCAAGCCUGAUCCAGCCAUACCGCGUGGGUGAAGAAGGCCUUCGGCUGGUAAAGCCCUGUUGUUGGGAAAGAAAAGCAGCAGGUUAAUACCCCGCUGUUCUGACGGUACCCAAAGAAUAAGCACCGGCUAACUUCGUG